rnacentral:rRNA from 1 species
GAUGAACGCUGGCGGCGUGCCUAAUACAUGCAAGUCGAGCGAAUGGAUUAAGAGCUUGCUCUUAUGAAGUUAGCGGCGGACGGGUGAGUAACACGUGGGUAACCUGCCCAUAAGACUGGGAUAACUCCGGGAAACCGGGGCUAAUACCGGAUAACAUUUUGAACCGCAUGGUUCGAAAUUGAAAGGCGGCUUCGGCUGUCAAUUAUGGAUGGACCCGCGUCGCAUUAGCUAGUCGGUGAGGUAACGGCUCACCAAGGCAACGAUGCGUAGCCGACCUGAGAGGGUGAUCGGCCACACUGGGACUGAGACACGGCCCAGACUCCUACGGGAGGCAGCAGUAGGGAAUCUUCCGCAAUGGACGAAAGUCUGACGGAGCAACGCCGCGUGAGUGAUGAAGGCUUUCGGGUCGUAAAACUCUGUUGUUAGGGAAGAACAAGUGCUAGUUGAAUAAGCUGGCACCUUGACAGUACCUAACCAGAAAGCCACGGCUAACUACGUGCCAGCCGCCGCAGUAA